UACAGAGGUGUCAAGCGUUGUUCGGAUUUAUUGGGCGUAAAGGGCGCGUAGGCGGCGUGGUAAGUCGGGUGUGAAAUCUCGGAGCUUAACUCCGAAACUGCAUUCGAUACUGCCGUGCUUGAGGACUGGAGAGGAGAGUGGAAUUUACGGUGUAGCGGUGAAAUGCGUAGAUAUCGGCAGGAACACCCAGGGGGAAGCCGGCCGACUGGGCAGCUGCUGACGCUGAGGCGCGAAAGCGUGGGGAGCGAACGGG
rnacentral:rRNA from 1 species